CGCGCAGGCGGUCCUUUAAGUCUGAUGUGAAAUCUCGCGGCUCAACCGCGAGCGGUCAUUGGAAACUGGGGGACUUGAGUGCAGAAGAGGAAAGCGGAAUUCCACGUGUAGCGGUGAAAUGCGUAGAGAUGUGGAGGAACACCAGUGGCGAAGGCGGCUUUCUGGUCUGUAACUGACGCUGAGGCGCGAAAGCGUGGGGAGCAAACAGGAUUAGAUACCCUGGUAGUCCACGCCGUAAACGAUGAGUGCUAAGUGUUAGAGGGUUUCCGCCCUUUAGUGCUGCAGCUAACGCAUUAAGCACUCCGCCUGGGGAGUACGGCCGCAAGGCUGAA
rnacentral:rRNA from 1 species